UGGCGGACGGGUGAGUAAUGUCUGGGAAACUGCCUGAUGGAGGGGGAUAACUACUGGAAACGGUAGCUAAUACCGCAUAACGUCGCAAGACCAAAGGAGGGGGACCUUAGGGCCUCUUGCCAUCGGAUGUGCCCAGACGGGAUUAGCUAGUAGGUGGGGUAAAGGCUCACCUAGGCGACGAUCCCUAGCUGGUCUGAGAGGAUGACCAGCCACACUGGAACUGAGACACGGUCCAG
rnacentral:rRNA from 1 species